UACGAAGGGGGCUAGCGUUGCUCGGAAUCACUGGGCGUAAAGCGCACGUAGGCGGAUUCUUAAGUCGGUGGUGAAAUCCUGGAGCUCAACUCCAGAACUGCCUUCGAUACUGAGAGUCUUGAGUCCGGGAGAGGUGAGUGGAAUUCCAGGUGUAGCGGUGAAAUGCGUAGAUAUCUGGAGGAACACCGGUGGCGAAGGCGGCAUUCUGGACCGAAACUGACGCUGAGGCGCGAAAGCCAGGGGAGCAAACGGG
rnacentral:rRNA from 1 species